rnacentral:rRNA from 1 species
AAAGGGAGAAGAGCGAAGCGACAGGCAGAGCUAGGACGAAGCAGUCAACGGUACCAGACAGCUUGCUCUCGGGUGACGAGUGCCGGACCCUUAUAUAAUGUCUGGAAAACUGCCUGAUGGAGGGGAACACCCUUUUUAAAAGCCACUAAUUCCCACACACCCAAACUCACCAACGAAGAGAGACGCGCCCCUCGCUCCCCCACCCCCCCCCUCUGAUCCCCCUAUCUUCUACGCUAAUCCCCCCUCUCCUCGAACGACCACUCCCCUCCUCUGUAUAAGACGAUCACCCACCCCUGCCACUGAGACACGGCCCAGACUCCUACCCCAGGCAGCAACGGGGAAUUAUUUUAGAUGGUGGCACCCCUAAUCAACCAAUCCCGCGGAAGAAAAAAAAGACUCCCUUUUGUAAGUAAUUUCUUUCCGGCAAGAAGUAAGUGCAGAAAAAACCUGAUAUUUUUUUAUGGCACCAGCACAAAAAGGACCGGCACACUAAGCUCCAACUACCGACGUAAUAUAUUAGGGACGAGCGAUUAUUAAAACUACUGUGCGGAAAGUAGCGCACGCAAGUGUGCUAGAACGACGUAAAUUCCACCGUCUUAUCCUGGCAAUUGACUUUGUGACAGACUAGCAUGAUAGUAUCACAUGGAGGGAGAGUUCAAUGUGAGUCGGAUAAAUGAAAACAGAUGUGAAAUAAUUCCGAUCGAGAAGGCACCUCCUGGUAUUCACUGACACUCAUCCUCUAAUGCGUAGGGAGCGAACAGUAUUAGACACUCUGACACCCCCCGCUCAAUACCAAGUAAAUUUUUGCUGGGGAGCCAUUCCUUAGAACGUAGCUAACUCGAUUAUCUGACCGAGUGGCCCCUCCGGUCGAAGAAUAGAAUCAGUAGAUUGACUUGAAUCGCAUAGCCCUGAAUAUUCGAUUAAUCGAAGAAAACUCAAAU